rnacentral:pre_miRNA from 3 species
AGCUGGUGUUGUGAAUCAGGCCGAUGUCACACGUCAGCGAUAACCCGGCUAUUUCACAACACCAGGGU